rnacentral:pre_miRNA from 1 species
AGGCAAGACGUAAGGCGUUGCCGAACGAAGUUUCAACCGGCAGCGCCAACGUAUUGCCAA